GUUUUUAUUUAUUUGCUUAUUUAUAUGUUUUUAAGGAAUUUUUUUUUUUUAAGUAGGCUUCACACCCAUCAUGGAGCCCAAUGUGGGGCUUGAACUCACAGCCCUGAGAUCAAGACCUGAGCUGAGAUCAAGAGCUGGAUGGUUAACUGACUGAGUCACCCUGACUCUAAUUGAAACAUCAGCUCUUCCUGGGUCUUGGGCCUGCCAGUAUUCAGACUGGGACUACAUUCACCAUCAGUUCUCCGGUGGUCUCCAGCAUGUGACUGAAGAUCUUGGAACUUGUCAACCUUCAUAAUCAUCUCUAGGAAACUAAACAAGCAGGAUUUCUAUGUUGCCGUCUUGAGGUCAAGUUCCUUCUCUGGGAAACCUCAGUCUUUUUUCUCAAGGCCUUUAGCAGCAGACUGGAUAAGGCCCACCGACAGAAUGGCUGGUAAUCUGCUUACUUAAAUCUGAUUUUUUCCAAAGAUUUAUUUAUUUAUUUGAGAGAGAAAGAGAGAGAGCAUGUGCAUGAGUGAAAGGAGAGUAGAGGUAGAAGGAGAGAGAGAGAGAGAAUCCUUAAGCAGGAUUGAGGAUUCAUUCUGAGCCUGGAGCUGGACACAGGGCUUGAACCCAGGGCACCAAGAUCAUGAUCUGAGCCUAAAUCAAAAGUAGGUGCUUAACCAACUAAGCCACCCAGUCACCUCUUAAAUCUCCUGAUUUAAGUGUUAAUCAUGUCUAAAAAUUUUUUUUCAUAGCAACAUCUGGGCUGGUGCAUGGCCAGACAAUUAGGUACCAUAGCCUAGCCACAAUGACUCAUAAAAUUAACCAUCACACUUGGGCUCAAUAAAAUAUACUAUUAAAAUCAUUUCACCUGUUUAUUUUAACUUUUUAAAAUGUGACUACUAGAAAAUUUUAUAUUGUGUAUGUGGCUUACAUUUGUUACCAAUAUUUAUUUCUGUUGGGCAGUACAGCUUGAGACAUUUUUGAAGAUAGAUAGCAAGUUUCAUGAAGGGACAAAUACCCAGGGUGCCAUGGGACCAUGGAAGAAAUACAUUGACACCCACUUGGGGCUGUUAAGGAGGGUUUGGCAGAGGUGGUGAGAUCAUUAAAGCACUAAUUCUGGAGCCCGGAUGCCUGGGUUGGAAUCUCUGCUCUGUCAGCCCACUCGAUGGGAUGGGUGGCCCAGUGCAAGAUAUUUACCCUCUUUGUCCUUUGUUUUCUUCAUCUGUAAAGUGAGGGUCGUUAUUAAGCCCUGUGCAUGAGAUCAUUGUGAGGGUUAAAUGAAUUUAUAUAUUUAAGCAUUAAAUUGUACCCAGGAUAGGGAAUCUCAACAAAUAUCAGUUACGGAAGGUCAUGCUUGAGCAGAAUUAGGAUAGAUGAGGGGCUGGGCAGAUCCAGAAGGGCUUGUUGAAAAGGAAUCAGCUUCCAAUGAGGGGGACAUCAAACCCUCUUCUUUGGUCUUCCUUUACUGCUUUACCACAGGGAAAUCAGCUGCAGGGUCAAAUUAGUAUAUUUCAUUCAGUGAAUGAGUGGCAUACACUUAACAAGGUGCGUUUUGGUCCUGAGUGUACCUGUUCUCAGCAGCACUCAGUUGUGCUGACCAUAGCCCUUUUUUCAGAACAUUGUAUUUUUAGCAUGAUUGUCUCUUGGUUUUCUCCCACCUCCCUGGGUGUUUCACCUUUGACUCCUUUGCACAGUUAGUCCUCUUCAGGACAAGCUCAAUCCUUCUCUCUCCUUUUUAUUCUAUGCUUCCCCCUAGAACAUCUGAUGCACACUCAUGCAAGACCUCAGUUACAACAGAUACUGCACAUGACUCACAAGUUUGCAUCUAUAACCCAGACUUUUCCACUGAGCUUCCGAUCUGAAUACUCAGGUACCUACUUGGUUAUCUCUACUAUAUGUCUCAGAGACAUCUUAUAUUCAACAAGUUCUAAAAUGUAUUCACCUGCUCCUCAUCACGUAUCCUUAGUUCAUUUUUAGUGUUCCCAACCUGUAUCUUACAAAGCCAGAAACUUAUGAAUUAUCCCCGUCCCUCUCCUUUAUUCUCCAUAUUUAAUCUGACAUCAAGACUUACCAGUUCUGCUUCAUUUAAUCCAAGACUGCCAUCACUUCUUACCUGGAUCGCUGCGUUAUAUCACUGCAUCCUUUUUCACCCCUUCUAAUUUCUUGUUCACACUGGAGCCAGGCUGGUAUUUUUGAAUAUUAAAUUUCAUCAUAUCCUUUCUCUUCUAAAAAUAUUUGAUGGUUUCUCAUGAUCAUUGGAUAAAGUUAAAAUCUCUGGACCCUACCACCUCUCUAGCCCUAUUUCAUAUCAGCCUUCCCGUCAUUUAGCCACUUAGAUGUUUUGUCAUCUCCUGGUUCUAAUCACAUGCCUUCAGGCCAUACGAUCUGAUCUGUUCCCUCUGCCUGCACUCUCCUACCACAUUCUCAGAAAAUUACUCUCCUUCAGAAAAUUUACAGUUUCUGAGAUUUAUUUCUACGAUCCUUGGGUUAUUGUCUUUGUUCCCCUCACCCCCACCAUCCCUAGAUUAUAAGCAUUAAGAAGUUUCAAAGGGACUGUCUUUCUUUUCCUCCUGUUGUAUCUUUGCCUUAGCAAAGUGCUGGCACAUAACAGAAGCCUGAUAAAUAAAUGCAUGGUUUCAGUUAGUGCUCACUUCAGCUCUGUCUUCAUGGUACUUUCAUUCCUCAAUUUACAUGUACAGACAGAGAGGUUUAGUUGGUUCAUCAACAUGCCCUAGAUUGCAAACCUGAUAAUGUGGAAGAAGUUGGAAAUAAAACCAGGUUAUGAUGCUUUUACUCUUCUGUACAAUAAUUUGGAUCUCCUUGUUUCUUAAUAUGGGGGAAUAAUAGGAAUCAUGUGACUAUGUCCCUUUUUUGUUGCUGGAUUAUACUGGACAUCUGGACUCUUAGUGAUUGUAUUAUUUCUGAACAUGCAUUUUUGUUCUGGAAGAAUAAGUUGACUAGUUUUGGAUGAAAGGUGAUUAAGAAAAAAUAACCUCAGAUGGCCCUUAAGCCAGGAUCUCUUGAUAUUUUGAUCAAGUGGAAGAAAAAUAUAGACUCAGACAAUUGAGAAAAAUCUUCAUUAACCAAUAAAAAGACUCUUCCAGAUAUAUUUUAAAAAAAAGAAACAAAUAUAUUGAGAUAAAAAGAAGGAUGAUUUAAUUCAAGUAUAUGAAUAAUAUUUAUCAGUAAAAUUUUACCAUCUGUACUUAAAAAAAAAAAAGAUUUUAUUUAUUUGGCAGAGACAGCCAGAGAGGGAACAUAAGCAGGGGGAGUGGGAGAGAGAGAGGGAGAAGCAGGCUCCCCACUGAGCAGGGAGCCUGAUGUGGGGCUCAAUCCCUGGACCCUGGGAUCAUAACCUGAGCCGAAGGCAGAUGCUUGACAACUGAGCCACCCAGGCACCCCUACCAUCUGUAUUAUUAAUAAUUAAGAUGACUUGUCUGGUUAUACUCUUUUUAUUAACUUGGACUACAUGAAAUUGCUGAUACUUGGCCAUUUUUGACUACAAAACAGCAUUUUUUUUGGAUCAGUUUCUCAUAAAGAGAUAUUGCCUUAUCUCCCCUUUGUGUCCCAGAAAACAUUUCAUUUCUCAUGAGCCCAUUGAAAAGAGGUCAACUUUGAUUGACUUUGCUGAGCUAGAACAUUGAUUCUCCUUCUUUCUCCAUGACUGUGUCUGCAUCUUCCAUCUGGAAGCUGUGGACCAGUUAGAAGAAAUCUUCUAUUUGAUCAAGAAUAAUGAGGCCUCAUGUAGUAAAAAAAUAGAGGAGCUCAUGGAAAUCCAAGAAUCUACCAUAAUUAUAACUCUCUUUGAGAGAAAAUGGCUUGAAGCAGUAUCUUCCUACAAACUUUGAUGUGACUCAUGGCAAUUACUCAUGCUGAGUGGAAACAAUGGACACAAUGGUUUAGACCAAGGAUCAGGAGAUAUUCUGUUAGAAAGGAGACCAGAAAGCAUGUUGACCAAGAGAGAUGACCACAGUUUUUGAAUCUUCAGUUUCUAGUCUUUCCCUAAGAGGCCCUGCUAUACUUUAUUUCUCACCUAUGAAUAUCCAUGAAAUUUUCCUUCUUGUAGCUUUCUAAUAAAACUCUUAUUUGCCCUUAUUAAGGGAAACUUUUCCUUACCACCAAACAAUCUCUGACCAAGACAAGAAUUAAAUGGGAUGAUGUAUGUGAGUUCUUUUCUUUUGUUUUCCUUUGUAAACUAUAAAGACAAAAAUGAAGAGCAGAUAUUCUUUCUUUCUCUUAUGAAAUUUGGCUUUCAGAAUGGAAAUUUAUUUCAUGUUGACCAAUUAGAUUGUGAAAAACCAAGCAGAAGAUGUUGCUUCAAUGAAAUAUGAAAUGCAUGUUAUUAAAUGGGUUUUAUCUUAGGACAAUCAGCAUAAAUGCAAAAGCAAAUAUUAUUCAUUUUCAAUCCAGAGACUUUUAGAAGUGAUUCAGUUGCAUUUCCACUUUCUCCUUCAGAAAGGAUUAAUCUGAGCUCCUCCUGUUUAUGGGCGACCAAAGAGAUCACCUCUGGCCACACUUUAAAAUUUAGUUGUACAGCUAUGAAAUCAAUUGGCUUAGACCUUAAGUCUCAAUCCUUAUGAAAAAUUUUCAUCACUAUAGCUGUAUGAACAAGUGUUUAUAGGUUAUCUUUUUUUUGCUAAGGCAUAGAUAGAAUGUUGCAAAUGUAUUUAUUUAUUUCAUAAACUUUUUAUUGACCUUCAGAGGGGUUCAUUCAAACAAGGAUUGAGAUGAACUUCAAGGGUAAAGAUCUGAAAUCAGAAGAAUCAUCUUUCUUUCUUUCUUUCUCUCCUUUUCUUUUUGUUUUCUUUCCCCUUCCUUCCUUCCUUCCUUCCUUCCUUCCUUCCUUCCUUCCUUCCUUCCUUCCUUCCAUCUUUUCCUUUCUAUUCUUCAUCUCUCUCUAAAAUCUUGUUUUUCCUUAUCUAUGCAUAAGGAGAUCUGAAGUCGACCUACAUUUCCUUUUGUAAUGCUUGUUCGGUUAUUUAGAGCAGGUAUCUUCAUCUUUUUUGUUAUCCCUGGUACCAGAUGUCAGUGAGGGUAUAGAGCUAUUUUGGAACCCCAAGAUUUUUUAAGUAGUUGAAAAGGUAAUGUACAUUAAGCAUUUAGAACUGUUGUUUGCACAUAACAGUGCUCAAUAAAUGUUAACCACUGUUAUUUCUAUUCUAGUUAACUUUUCUUCUCUGCUUUGAGACCUUUUCCAAGGGUAUAUGAUGAGUGUGGGGAAGAACGUAAGAGAAGAUUGAUGUCUCUGUUUCAGAACUCCAAAAUAAUAUCUCCGAAUUGGUAGUAAAGCUUGCCUUUGAGGAAUUUUUUUUUUUUUUUGUCUCUGACAAACAGCAUGUUGCCUACAAUGGAGUAUAGAUUUUUAAUGGUGAUUAGAGAUAGACUGAUGGUGCUAGGAGGAAACUAUUAUGGUAUUAAAGCACAAAACUUCAUGAAAGUGUAUUCCUUAAAUCUAAGCUUGAGAUUUUGCAUAGCCAAUAAGGAAUGCUUGCAGUUGUUCAGUUAUUCUAGAUCAAUAAAAUGUAUUAAGAUUCCAACGGCUCCACUGGUUCUCCAUCUGCUCACUAUUGCUUCAAGACUUCAUUAAGCACUGCUAUCAACAAGGCGGCACUAGUAACAAAUGUCUAUACCCUUUAAGUAUCUGCUAUGUAUCAGUUACCUCAGUUUGAUAAAAUUGGUAAAAUUAUGCCAUUUUGUUAUAUUUCUAGUACUAUGUAAGAGUCUGAAAGUGAACUAUUUCAUUUUAAUCCAAAAAAAAUCCUAAGAAGAAAAUAUUACUGAAUAUAUUACGUAGAUACAGAAUUUAAUUAGGUGAACCUGUCUGCCACUUACACACACACACACCCCAUGCACACAAUUAUAGGCUACUGCUGCCAGGUACUUUUUUUUUUUUUUUUUUUGUUAGUUCAUCUCAGAUACUAAGAUUCUUGUUAUACUGGUAGACCAGUAUACUGCAUAAUUAUUCAAGCCAGUUAUUGUGGAGGAAAUUGUAGACAUUAAAACAACAUGAUGGUAGGUACUUAACCUUGACGAGUGGGAUGAUACAUGGCAUACUGGAGAAGGUGAUCAUGCUAGAUGAGCAAGAGUCAGUCAACUAUGAUGGAAGAAGACCACAUUUCAGGCAUUGGGAAGGGUAUGUUAACAUACUGAAAAUGCCAUACUGCUUUUGCGAAGCUGAGACCCAGAGCAGAAAUUGAGGAGUGGCCGUGGAUGGAAGUGGAGAGGUGGGUAGGGAACUUGUAUAAGACCGUUGUAUAACACCCUUAAUUUGAAGUUACCCAUAUAUCAAUAGGAGGACUUUGAGGAUUUCAUGAAUAAGAGUAACAUGAUCAGAUUUGAAUUUUAAAAAUAGCCCUUUGGAGAUUGUGUGGAGAUUAGGUUUGAAGUGACCAAGAUUGGAGGCAGGGAAAGCAGAUUUUGUUAAGAAGUAACUUAUGCAAGAAAAGAUGAGUCCCUAUGUAUGAAAGUGAUAAUACAGAGGAGAAAGAAGAGAGUUGAGGGAUAUUUGGGAAUUGAGUUUACCUAAUUUGGUGACUGGAUGGAAUAUGAAGGGGCAAUGAAUAAAGAAAAAAACUGCAAAGAUGAUUGCUAGUUUUCUGUCUUGACUUACUGUUUCAUCAGAGGGGUGGCUAUAUAAGAACAGAUUAUUGGGAAAAUGUUGGGGCAUCUCUACAGGACACCCAGUUGGGGAAGCUUAGAGUUGUCCGAACGGAUCUGGAGCUCUGCAGAGAAGCCCAAGCUGAACAUAUGCUUUGGAACUUACCAGCCAUAGAAUGUGGUAAUUCAAGUCAUUGCAGAGGAUGAGCUUUUCUUAAAGGAAUAGUACGAAGAAAGAGAAAAAAGAAGACAUAAAAUAGAAGAAGCCCCAACAUUUAAAGGAUGGGUAGAAGAAGAAGAGCCUGUGAAAAAUAAAAUGCCAGAAAACCCAGAGAGAGAGAGAGAGAGAGAGAACAAGCAGGGGGAGCCGCAAGCAGAGGGAUAAGGAGGCGUGCCUGCUGAGCAAGGAGCCUGAUGCCACACUCAAUCCCAGGACCCAGGGAUCAUGACCUGAACCAAAGGCAGAGACUUAACUGACUGAGCCGCCCAGGCGCCCCAAGAUUUUUUAAGUAGCUGAAAAGCUAGGAGAUGAUGGCCAAAGAUGGAUAAGCUAAAAACUGAGACAGCUGAACAACACCAGUAUCUUAUGUGAGUCUGUCCAGAAGAAAUAAAUCUCCAAGAUGACAUAUUCCUGGCCCCAGAGAGAGACACAUCAAAAGAGGGAAUACAAGCAGAGAGAGAGGGAGAAGCAGGCUUCCCGCUGAGAAGAGAGCCUGAUGCGAGGUUUGAUCCCAGACCCUGGGAUCAUGACCUGAGCUGAAGGCAGACGCUUAAGGACUGAGCCACCCAGGUACAUGUUGGUGUUUCUGGAUUACUGGUUUUUCCAGGAAUGCAGUCUGGAAUACCUGAAGAAAAGAAAACCCAAAACCCGAAAGCUAAGAACCAAGAGAACUUAUCACUGUGUCUUUCCAUGGGUCUCAAAAUCUCUGGCCUGACCUUAUGUUCUCUCUAUCUUCCAUAGUCUUCUUAUGUUGGUUUUAUGUAUAACGUCCCAGUUUGUUUGUUUAUUAUGCUCUAGUUAGCAGAAGGAAUAGAGAAAAGUACUCCAACUCCAGUUUUCCAGAAGGAGAAAUCUCUCUGAAGUCAAGAUAAAGUAGCUUUGAGGCUUUGCCUGACACUACUUUAUCCAGCCAACUUCUGAGGUUUUAGAGGCUCAGUGGGUUCUCAUUAGACUCUCACUUUUGUUACCUGUUUUGGUCUUAAAUCUGAACCACUCUGAGCAAGUAUCUGGCUGUGUAAGAGGUGUGCCUCCUCCUGCCCAGGCUACUACCAUGUUGUAAACCACUCUACUCUGAUAUGCUCGUGUGUGUAUCUUCUCAUUUGCUUCUUCUAGGUCCUUCCCGAUGUCUAGUGUAUGUCUGUAUUCUUUUGAGAAACUUGAUAAAAAUUCUCUAUAUUCUGGAAAAUGAGUACCAAAGGGAUAAAAACAAUCUCAAUUAUGUUAUAAUAUUUGACAUGCUCUUAUAUUUGUUCAAGUCAAAUUUAAAUUUAUCAUUUAGUUAUUUUGUUUUUAAAUGGGCUUAUUUGAAUCGCCAAAACAGCUAUUUUCUACAAAGAAAAAAAGUUUGAUUUUCUUUAUAAGAAAACUGUUGUUCAUGUGCUGUAUUGCUAAAUAGAAGAGAAAUGAAUAUAAUAUAUUCAAUAUAAUAAUAUUGAAAAUAAUAAGGUAAAUGAAAAAACAAUCUCAGCUUAUAUAUUGUGUCUGUCUUGUUAGAGACUUCCUUGUGUAAUUUUAAUUCCAAAUGCCUUCAUAUUUGCCCUCUGUUUUUCCCUGACAUUGAGAGUCAAGAAAGUCCAGACAGAAAGUAUGUGAAAUAAAAUGGUUGCUAAAGCAGAAAGUGUGUUUAACCCUAGAACCCUAUUAUCAAUUAAACUAAUAUUAUGGCUUCAUGAUUUUCUUUCAAAAAUAAUUUCCCCCCUCUAAACUGUCUUGGAAAAGCUACUUCUUGCUACCAGUCCUGUCUCAAGGGAUGUGUACUGACUGGAAAUUUUGAGCUUCUAUAAAAGUGUUUAUUAAAUUUUUGAAUAAUUGCAUUAAAUACCAACAAUAAGCAAUCAUCAUUUUCAUGUUUGUUGAGCAAUU